UUUUUUUUUUUUUUUUUUUUUUUUUUUCGUCGGACGAACGCUGGCGGCGUGCUUAACACAUGCAAGUCGAACGAUGAACCACUUCGGUGGGGAAGAGUGGCGAACGGGUGAGUAACACGUGGGCAAUCUGCCCUGCACUCUGGGAUAACUCCGGGAAACCGGAGCUAAUACCGGAUACGACUCUCCAGGGCAUCCUGGGGGGUGGAAAGCUCCGGCGGUGCAGGAUGAGCCCGCGGCCUAUCAGCUGGUUGGUGGGGUAACGGCCCACCAAGGCGACGACGGGUAGCCGGCCUGAGAGGGCGACCGGCCACACUGGGACUGAGACACGGCCCAGACUCCUACGGGAGGCAGCAGUGGGGAAUAUUGCACAAUGGGCGCAAGCCUGAUGCAGCGACGCCGCGUGAGGGAUGACGGCCUUCGGGUUGUAAACCUCUUUCAGCAGGGAAGAAGCGCAAGUGACGGUACCUGCAGAAGAAGCACCGGCUAACUACGUGCCAGCAGCCGCGGUAAUACGUAGGGUGCGAGCGUUGUCCGGAAUUAUUGGGCGUAAAGAGCUCGUAGGCGGCCUGUCGCGUCGGAUGUGAAAGCCCGGGGCUUAACCCCGGGUCUGCAUUCGAUACGGGCAGGCUAGAGUUCGGUAGGGGAGAUCGGAAUUCCUGGUGUAGCGGUGAAAUGCGCAGAUAUCAGGAGGAACACCGGUGGCGAAGGCGGAUCUCUGGGCCGAUACUGACGCUGAGGAGCGAAAGCGUGGGGAGCGAACAGGAUUAGAUACCCUGGUAGUCCACGCCGUAAACGUUGGGCACUAGGUGUGGGCGGCAUUCCACGUCGUCCGUGCCGCAGCUAACGCAUUAAGUGCCCCGCCCUGUGAGUCGCCCAAC
rnacentral:rRNA from 2 species